UAAGGAAUAUUGGUCAAUGGACGCAAGUCUGAACCAGCCAUGCCGCGUGAAGGAUGAAGGUCCUCUGGAUUGUAAACUUCUUUUAUCUGGGACGAAAACGGGAUUUUUAUCUCAAUUGACGGUACCAGAGGAAUAAGCACCGGCUAACUCCGUGCCAGCAGCCGCGGUAAUACGGAGGGUGCGAGCGUUAUCCGGAUUUACUGGGUUUAAAGGGUGCGUAGGUGGGCUUAUAAGUCAGUGGUGAAAUCUCCGAGCUUAACUUGGAAACUGCCGUUGAUACUAUAGGUCUUGAAUUAUCUGGAGGUAAGCGGAAUAUGUCAUGUAGCGGUGAAAUGCUUAGAUAUGACAUAGAACACCAAUUGCGAAGGCAGCUUACUACAUAUAAAUUGACGCUGAGGCACGAAAGCGUGGGGAUCAAACG
rnacentral:rRNA from 1 species